AGUGAAGUACUCCAGUCGGCACCCUUGGGGAGAAACCAUCCAAUCAACCGGCUACCAUCUGAUUUGAUCUGAUUCAUUUGGGAAUAUCGAUCCGUGCCGAUCAAUAAGGAUACUUCAUUCCCGAGGAAACUUUGCGCAAAGCUCUCUGCAGCAUCCUCUCCACCGGCACGCGGACGAACCUGCGUUUUUCUCGCCUAUAAAAUGGUCAUAACGCAACUAACACCCCCCUGCGCUCACUCAUAAGUGCCCACGGGUCGCGUUUUGGCUCGGAUGCGCGGCAGAGGAGGUCCGGAUCAGGCACACGGUGUCCCCUCAACAGAGAGGAGAAGUGAGCAGGACGAGCCGCGGGGGGAAUACAAAUUCUAGCUGUGAAAGAGAAACGUCCGACGAGAAUAAUGAGGCGAGCUGCCGGCACGGAGCGCUAACACCGAGGAGAUUCAGCUUAUUUCCUGCCAGGCUGCCGCUGCUGUCCGCCUCCAGCCCCGAAGAGGAAUAAAACAAGACAUCCAGUGAAGCGUUGGUGAGAUUUAAACGGAGGGAUGACAGUCAAGCUGGACUUUGAGGAGUGUUUGAAAGACUCUCCGCGCUUCAGAGCUGAAAUUGAGGUGGUCCAGAACGAUGUGAGUGAACUGGAGACGCGAUUAGACAAGCUGGUGAAACAAUGCCAGGCCAUGCUGGAGGCAGGCAGGGUCUACUGCCAGACCAGCAAGGGCUUCGUCAACGGCCUCCGGGAGCUGGGACACCACUGCUCCGGGGACAAGAUGAUGGAGGAGUGUUUGGACAAAUUUUCCAAAAAGCUGUCUAUCAUCUUGGAGGCACAGGGGGACAUGAUUGAGACCACGCAGAAGUCAGUCAAGACGAAGCUGCAGAACUUUGUCAAAGAGGAUGUGCGUCGGUUCAAGGACGUGCGCAAGGAGUUUGAGCGCGGCAGCGAGUCCCUGGAGGGGGCGCAGGUGAGGAACGCUCAGGCCCCACGGGGGAAGCAGCACGAGGUGGAGGAGGCGAGCAAUGCUCUGCUCAAUGCACGCAGGGCCUUCCGGUCUGAGGCCCUGGAUUACGUCCUGGAGAUAAAUGUCAUCGAAGCCAAGAAGAAGACUGACAUUCUGAUGGCAGUGCUGUCGCUGAUGGAGGCCCAGGCCCAGUUCUUCCAGCAUGGCCACCAGUCUCUGUCAGAGCUGGACGAUUAUCGGCAAAAACUGAACGAAGAGCACACUCAGUUUGUCCUAAACUCUGCCCGGGAGAAGAGAGAUAUGGAACAAAGACACUGUGCAAUAAAGAAGAAGGAUGUGUCCUACGAUGAUUCCAUCAUGGACUUCAAUGCCGACGCAGCUAACGGGAUCGCCAUGGAGGGAUACCUCUACAAGAGAGCCAGCAACGCCUUCAAGACCUGGAGCAGGCGUUGGUUUUCAAUUCAGAAAAAUCAGCUGGUGUAUCAGAAGAAAUUCAAGGACCAGCCUACAGUUGUGGUGGAGGACUUGCGUCUUUGCACAGUCAAGCCCUGCACUGAAAAUGAGAGACGAUUCUGCUUUGAAGUGGUCUCGCCGUCAAAGUGUUGUUUGUUGCAGGCAGAUUCAGAAAGGCAGCAGCAGGCGUGGAUCAGCGCCGUCCAAAACAGCAUCGCCUCAGCCUUUCAGGAGCGCAGGGAGGACCCACACAGCCCAAGACAGCGUUGCAGCUCGAUGUCUCUGAGCAGUUUGGGAGGAGGGGGAGGAGGAGGAGGAGCGGAUCAGGAGAGCGAGGGCCGCAAGGCGCUGGAGGAGGUUCAGGCGAUCCCAGGGAACAAGCAGUGCUGUGACUGCGGGGAGCCCGGCCCUGAUUGGGCCUCCAUCAACCUGGGCAUCACGCUUUGUAUCGUCUGCUCAGGGAUACACAGGAGCCUGGGAGUCCAUUUCUCCAAAGUCCGCUCCCUCACUCUGGACUCAUGGGAGCCAGAGCUCGUUAAGUUGAUGUGUGAAUUAGGAAACACAGUAAUCAACAGGAUCUACGAGGCCCGGAUCGAUGAGAUCACCAUCAAGAAGCCGCACCCCUCCAGUCCCAGAGGAGACAAGGAGUCGUGGAUCCGAUCAAAGUACGUUGAGAAGAAGUUUAUCCAAAAGCUGCCCGAGACUGGCAGGAACCCCCCGCUGAGGCGAUCCAGUGCCAGGAGGAACAGAGCGACCACGCAGGACCGGCCUGUACAGCGACCGCCGCUCAAGCCCAAACCAAACCGAGCCACCCUGCCUCGGGUCACAGGGCUGAGCCCCAGUGACCUUGUCCAGAAAAACAAUACAAGCUUUCACAAAGACGUGGACGAGGAAGAGGAGGAUCUGAGCGGACUUCAUCCCGGGGCGCUGCUGUACCGCUCGGCGGCCCUGCAGAACUUCCCCGUCAUGGCCGACGCCCUGGCCCACGGGGCCGACGUCAACUGGGUGAACGUGGGCGAGGAGUCCAGCACGCCGCUGAUACAGGCCGUCACAGCAAACGCCCUGGCAGCCUGCGAGUUCCUGCUGCAGAACGGCGCUAACGUCAACCAGGCGGACAGCAACGGGAGGGGGCCGCUUCACCACGCCACCAUCCUGGGUCACACUGGUUUGGUUUGUCUCUUCCUGAAGCGGGGAGCAGACUACAACGCCAGAGACAAGAACCAGAAAGACCCCAUAACGAUCGCUGUGGACAACGCCAACGCUGACAUCGUCACUUUGCUGCGGAUCGCCAAGAUGAACAAGGAGAUGCGGGAGAUGGACGGAGCGUUCGGCCAAUCAGGUCACUCAGGGGGGCAGGGAACUGGGGGUUCAUUGGGCGGGACUGGAGGUGGACUGGCCCACACCAGGAAGAGUCUCCAGGCUAUUAAAAACCAUAUAAGUGGCUGGGCUCUGGGAGGGCAGAAUGAUUAAUGGAGAUAGAAAUCAGCCCAGGAGGAGAGACAGGAAGUGAGACUGGAAUUAGCUUGUUUUUGGUUGUAAGCUAAAAGGAAAAUGACAUGUUUUCGUCGAGCUGUUACGCAUCAGAAAUCACUGCUUUUGCAGUGUCAUGUGAUGUUUAUCUGCAGCGUCUGCAGGGAAAUUAUCCCGGCCUCCCACACAUAUCAUUAAAGGAAGUGUGCGUCAUCAUUUCUAAUAGAGAAAAAAAGGAAAAUCGCCUUCAUUGAGACAGCAUCAAAUCCAGUUCUUAAAGAGCCAGAACACAGGGUACGACAGCAUAAAGGCAGAGUCUCAAGGACGUAACUGAAAACAGACGUAUUGAUCAGCCAAGACAGGGAGGUGUCCUGUGAAACAAAUCGUGAGAGACAUUCUUGCACUUUGAAUUACAAAUGCACAUCAUGCUGCACUUUGAAAACCCACAAAAUCUCCAAAUACCUUGUCAGUGGAGAGUGCAACACGUGGGUGUUUGCUGUUGUAUAACUGAAGCUUAAGAAAAUGUAUAUAUAAUAGAACUGCAUCAAGCCUACUUUUUCUGAUAAUGUUUAUGUGGGAUAUUUUUAUAUACAGUAUGUACAGUGUUCUGGCUUUAUCAUCGUUUUUAUUGAUGUGUGUUGGACUGUCUUUUUCAGUCCAGUUUUAUAAGCUAAAUAUAAUGUUGGGUUUGGUUCUGAAGGACAAUGUUUUCCUGCUAUUCUGUGAAUAGUGACGCAGUUUGUUAUAUAUUUGUAUUUAUCAGGAUUUCAUGCUGUCAGCCAGGUCCUGAGCUUAAGAUCAGCAGUGGGUUUUGUUUGCAUUUUGUCAUGUUGGCUUCUUUUCAAGCUGCAAAGUCCAUUCUUUCAUGAUUGUCCUUUUGGUCAGCGUCCAGGCUUUUGUUAAGUUUCUUGCUGUAUUCGGUUUACAAUUCCAGCUUCACUCGUGAAGGAAUGGAUGUGAAGUGAUGCUUUUGUCUGCUUGAGAACAACUGCUGGUCAGUAUUUGACGUGCUGUGCUUUAUCGUUGUGUGUCUUUGUCGUGUGCACUCAUGUGCCUUUGCCUUCUGCCCGCUGAGAUGUCCAACUGGUCUCAACUGCUUGUGCAGUGUGCCACCUACUGCAAACUAAGAGGUGAUGAAACCUACCAGGACAUCUUCCGAGACUUUUCACACAUGGCCUCCAACAACCCCGAGAAGCUCAAACGCCGCAGUGCAGACCCCAAAACUUAACUGGUUGUUGCCUCCUCUUCAUCCCGCUGUACAAUGCCACGUUCCUUUCAAACACACAUACUGAAAACAUGCUAAUAUCCGGCUCACAGGCAUGUGGACACACACAUUUUCCCUGGCUACCUGCCACAUGUUCAGUCAUAGCUCAGCUGGUGUUGACUUCAGAGAGGAUGAACACACCAAACAGUGAAUUCUUUGUGUGGACACGUCAGACCAGAACAAUUGUACCCUAGUGGGAACACUGGAACAGCUUUAUGAGACCAGCAUGAGGUGUCUUUAUGCGUAGCAGAGGGUAACAGCAUCACUCUGCCAAGAUUUCCUAAUUAAAUCCUGUAAAUCUGUUGUUUUUUUAAAGAUAAAAUCUGUUUUUUUAUGUUCCUCUGCCAUUUCUUUUAAGUUGUUACAUGAAAAAAAAUGCAAAAUUGCAAAUGGACUUAACUUUUGUAAAGAGUAAAAUUUUUACAUUACACACACAAUUCCACUGAAUUGUAAUGUAAACAUGUUUUUACAUUUGGGACAUUUUUAGACUCUGUUAAUGACUGUUAACAUUAAACUGUAUGAGGUACUUGAGAUUCAUGAACAAAUAAACCACAAUACAAACCUAA